AAUCGUUCACUAAAUCCACACGGUAAAGGUGUGAUUUAACUAAGCACGGCAACAUUACAAAUGCUGUACCGUUUCUCCGUUCAUUUCUAAUCAGUGGUUUCCUUCUUGAUUGCUCCUAAAUCGAACUGACGAGGAAACAACAAAAAAUAGCCGAUACAACGCGGCAACGAGCAGUCUCGGGUCCAAUCGCUUGUUCAUAAACAAAAAAAUUCCACGACACUGCAUCCUUGAAAAAGGGUCGCCACACCUUCCUCCGCUGCCGCGUUCGUCCAGCUCUCCGAUCCCGCGUUCGAGAAUCCGAUUAAGGCGCCGUCCCGAGGUCAGUUUGCCGCGUCAGCAUUCGCGGCCCAAACGGAGGGAGAUGUUUAUUCAUCGCCGGCGGACGGCUUGGCAGGAGCCGCUGGGAACGCAGAACCGCAUUCCAAUGAGGUCUGCAGAAACGGCGCUCGUCUCUGCGCACCAGAGGCCUGGAACGAGUCCCCUGUCAAUCUCAUUCACAGCGCUUAGUCUUCAAGAGCGGAAAAUAUCUUAACGUAAAAAAUCACUUACAUAUGCGUAAAUACAGGAAAAGACAAUGCACAAUGAGUGUGCAUUCCCAAUAAAAAAACAUAUUUUCACAAAAGUCAGAAAUAAAUAUUAACCAUUUUUGUGGCCAAUUUGUAACUAGGCUGCUGUCAUAGAGAAGAGAAAGUCCUUAUCAGUCUGCUAUAGUGAACCACUAUGUUUUUCUUGAGCAAAUGAAGGGGUUGUGGCUCUCUGUUAGAGGUGAUCAAAGUAAGAAAUGAAGAAGACCAUGAAACAGGUCAUCUGUUAGUGGAUAAUUACCUGGUGUAUAGUUAGCAUGUUACAACUAUCUUUGAUGAGGUCAUCCAAAGGUUACCUAAACCUUUUUCAGCUCUUUGAGCUCCUUGCUCAUUAGCAAGUCAAAUAUUUCAACCAUGCGAUUUCAGUCCCACAGAAUUUCAAACAAUAAAGCUUUAUAAAGGGACUGAAAGAUAUGCAGAUGUAAAUGUUUGCCUACAAAUAAAACACAUGGACUCAGUAAUA